rnacentral:lncRNA from 1 species
AGGAGCCAGGGUUUUACUAAAGGCCCACCCUCCUGCCAGGCUCCAGCUGCUCCAUGGGAAGGGAAAAGGUGGCAGAAGGCUGGGAGUACAGAGGAGAGCAGCAAGGGGGCAGGAGAAGUGUCUGUCCAGGCAGGAUUUUUUAAUUUGCAAUUGACAGAAACCCACCUAAAUUGUCUUAGCGACAAAGAGGAGUGCAUUGGAUCCUAAAUCUGGAAGUCCAGGACAAGAUGGCUCAGGCCGGCCCAGGUCCACAGGCUCAGAGGAUGUCACCAGGAAGCUCUCUACCGUUGGCGGCCUGGCCUUGCUCUGGGCGUACGUCUCUCAGGCAGGUGGCACAGAGAGGCCCACCGCCCACUAAUGGGUUCAUAGCACCUGUGACCGGUCUGCCCAAUUAUCCAGAGAUCCGCCCAGAAGGUUCUGAUUGACCACAUGUCAGCCCUGCCGCAGCGCAACCGCUCUGAUUGGCCAGCUCAGGUCACAUGUCUGCUGCACAGGCGAGAAGGCAGCUGGGCAUGCGCAGUGCCAGAGGCUGGCAGAGGAGGCGCUGGCAGAGACGCCAGGUGGGUCUGCGCUUUGGGACGGGAACCUCACAGCCACAGUCACGUCCCCAGAAAAGGGAACACAGGACUUGGAGACGUUUCGAUGUUUUCAAGACCUGGGAAACGUGUUUAAAGGCAAACAGCAAAGCUUGACCAUGUAGAGAUAGAUGUCCUUCCUAUUUAGCAAUUCACUCAGAGAGAAGAGAACGCGUGAUUUGGGGGCAGAAGAGAAAGAAACUGAGUUGAGAAACAGAAAAUUCAGAUUUUCUAAAAGCGUCCAGAAGUGAACAGUGAGUAAAAACGCCCCACGUGACACUGAGAAAUGUCCCCAGAGCCGCGCAGUCCCAAGGCCGCCAUUGAAAAGUCUCCACGCUGGAACUGCUAUUUCCAGCACUUACUGUCAGGGACUGAGUUUGAGUUUGCGUUUUGCAAACCAUCUCCUCCAUCGUUUUGGUUUUCCACAGUGACGCAAAGAGUUGCCCUCCCUCUCUGGUUUCUUAUGGCGGCUGGUUUCCUUCCAUCUUUUUCAAAUAACGCAUUUCCACUUAGCUGGUGCCGUCUUCUGGGAUUAAUUAGUGACUGCGCAAGGUACACGGGGUUUCCGCGGCCGGCACCUCUUGACAGACGGCAGUUGGAAAGAAAUGGGAAAUGAUUGCAGAGAUGGUAAUUAUGAUUUUCUGGUUGUAAGAAGUUUAUGAAAUGCCUCCAGGGUUGAAGAGCCCACGUCAGUUCUUGGGGCCCCAGAGGCCCGUGGCUGGGCAGCAGCCAUGCGUCCUCCUUCCAAACUCGGGUUGGAAAUGGCUUUUCCUAUUACAUGGAAGGCAAGAAAAAGAAAAGAAAGUUGAUUUAUACGCAAGACUCCUGCUCUAUAAUUAUGGUCUAGAAUUAAUUGAAUACCCUGUAGCUUUUGUACUGUAUAUGCUAAUGAUGACCAAAAAUGGAUUCUCUUCUAUAUUUCUUUAUUAACUUAUCUUCAAGUGACAUAUUGUGAAUAACAGCCUCCUGUACUGCUGGACUAGGCAACUUUAUAAUUUGCAAUUCAAGCUGUUUAUUCUAUUCAAUUUGUUUAGGUAAUUUAUUUUUCUAGGAAGAAAAAAAAAGACCUAAAUUAUAGGAACCAACAGUCCCUGUUGCUGGAAAAUGCUGGGGAUCUGGAGUGAAUAAAUAUUCCUGAGAUGAGACGACCGUGACCUUGUGUGGGGAGCUUGGGGCAAUCACCUGGAUAACACGAGCCAGGAGAGGGCAGGGAUGGAAGAAAACAUUUCUGAAGCUCAUUCAUCCUGAAAUGCCUGGGUCAGACAGUUGACUCUGUGGAUGCCGCCAGAAUUCAUCUCAGAGAGAGGCAGGCACAGAGAAAUAUUCCAGCUGAGCGGAGCCACCAGGAAAUGUGCGCUCCACAGAUCAGGCUCCAAGUUGCAGGUGCACACGUGUGUGUACAUGUGUGUGCAUGUAUGUGCAUGUGAAGGCAACAUGACAGCCCUGAGGUGAGGCCCAUCCCCAGGCCUCCCGAGGCUCAGGUGGUCCCUUGAAGGGGGCCUGCAGGCACCCAGCAUGCAGACACACCGCCAUUGAGCCCUCGCGUUGCUAGUCUAAUUCUCUCCGCCUGCAGAGUGGGUGCUGUGAUGCCCAUUGAAGAGAUGAAGAAGCCAAGGCUCAGAGAGGUACAGGAACUUGUCCAGGGUCACAUUCAUUUGGCAGGGCAGCCAGGGUUUAAGCCCAGGUUUUUCUGUAAAGUCUGUGUGUUUCCUACCGCCUCACGCUGUCAUCCCACAGUCCAACAAGGCUCGGCUCGGCUGUGUCAGUAGUUAACGUGCAUGAUGCUGGAACCCUGGGAUGGACAGUGUCUUCUGCAGAAGUCGCUCUCCGUUUCCUCCGGCUGAGCCAGGGCCAGCGGAGCACAGGGCCAGGCUGCCGUGUCCUUGUUCUGCGCUGUGCUCUGAGGGCUGCGUGUGGCCUGGCCCACGGUAUUUGCAGCCACAGAGCAGGCUGCGUUUUAAAUCCACCAAGGGCAGCAGGGGGGCUGGGCGGGAGCAGCGUCCCUGGGGCUCACGGAAGCGCCGAGCGCCCCCCAGUCCUCACUGGGCUGUGGUGUGGAGCAUGAAGGGCUAAUUUCAUGGCUGAUAAAACUCUCUAUGCACGAGACUUCACAGACAAAUGAGAGCACUGCUCUGCUCCUUUUCAUGAGGACAUUUAUUUUCUCCUUUCCUUGGGAAGGCACUUCUUCCGGCCUUCCUCAGUCCUGGCCCCUGCAGCUGUGCAAAGGAGGAUCAGGGCUUCUGUGAUGGAAGUGCAGACACCAGGACAGAAAAGUGGCUGGUUCAGGGAGGAGGGCCGGGCCAUGCUCCCUGCUGGGAGCAGAUGGGGCCAAGAGGGAGGCUGGUGGGAGGAUCUGGGUAGCUCUGAAGGAUGCUCCGUGUUAUCCUGAAGGGGCGCAUCCUCAUCGGGUUUGAAACAAUGGGACUUGGUUCAAUGGAGAAAUGAUCUCAUCAGCCUGUUUCUCCUCAUGGCCUUCCCCAGCCAUACCCUGCUUUGCGAGGAAUUCUCCAGGAUGCGGGCAAUCAUGGCCUGCUCCAGAAGGCCUUCCGGAGUGCUCUGGCUCACUGGCAUCUCCUUUUCUCAGAACCCUAUCCGAGACCGACUCUCCUAACCUCUGGCCCUCUCCUAACCUCCAUGGGCCAGGAUCUGGCAUUUCAGGAGAUUCUCACUGGAGACCCCCCGUGUGCCCCAUAGUGCAGACGAGGAAGCUGAGGUUCGGUCUGUUGGGUGUGAUCCCAGCUGCCAACUGAUGGAGCCUGAUGAGGUCCACCAGCCGUCUGGUCCACGUCCAGCACCGGGGCUGGCUAGGUCACGUGACUGAACUUUUCACAGUCCUCUCUCUUACCCGAGCACUUCAGUAUGUUUGAUUUUUCUCCUUAAUUAUGCUAGAGGCUUCUUGGGAGCAGAUACCAUAUUUUCUUUCUCUUGCACCCUCUCUCCAGUGUGAAACAUAGACACACACAUCCAUGGAAGAGAGAGCAACACACACACACAACACAGAGACACAAAGAGCCACCCACAGAUAAACACACACAAGACACACACAGAAUACACAUAUGAACGCACAUGUCCAAACCCACACUCGAGGCUAUGUGUGCAUGACGUCUGCACACACAAAUAUGGUCACUGACGUCCCCUCCCCGAGCACACAGGCCUGACAAGGAAAGAAAGCUGUAAAAGGGAUUUUAGCAGAAAGCAGGACCAAUGACAGGACCAGCGCCCGCCUUGUGAGUCCUGGGCUCAGCAACAUUUGGCCCCUCCUGCCACCUCUGGGUCUGGCAUGUGUGAGUGGCCUGGCUCUGGAAUCAGUCACUGGCCUGUGCAUCCAGCAAGUGCCAGGAACUCUCCCAGCCUCAGUUUCCCCCUCCGUCACAUGUGGUUAGCCUGCCCUGCUCAUGGAUCAUUGUGAGGAUUAGAUGAGAGAACAGAUGCCAUAACGUCUGGUUCACAAGAAGCAGAGCUCUCAUUUCUCCCUGAGCGAGGAGCCUGACGGUUCAGAAGGGCCAUGGGGAGGCCGGAAAGGGGACACAGAGAGUUUCACAAACUGACAUUUAAAAAAAAUUAAAACUGUAUCAUUUAUAUCACAUUUUUCUUAUUUUAUAGGUAAGAUACAGUCCGUUUUAAAUAUUUUAGAAAACCAGAAUCAUACUGAGAAGAAUAUUUUUAAAGUAACCCCACCCCGUCAUCCACUGACUCACUCCACGAGCUCUUCUGAGAGCUGCCUGUGCUGGUCCCGUUUCAGGCCCUGGGGUCCAGCUUGAGCGAGAUAGGGAAAGCACCUGCGCGGAAGGUUCUGGGGGGAGAGGGCGGGCCGCAGACGGGCCCACAGACAGAGGCUCCUGCUCCUGGGGCUCUCCUCGCUGUAACCGCAGCUGCACACAGAUGUGGGGAGAGUGAGGGUUGAUUGUAUGUGUCAGCUGGCCGGGGCCACAGGGCCCCAGCUAUCUGGUUCCAGACUACUUCUGGGUGUGUCUGUGAAGGUGCAUCUCCGGGAGAUGAGCAUUUGAAUCCGCAGGGUGAGUAAAGCAGACGUCCCGCCCGUGUGGGUGGGCCUCAUCUCCUCUGCUGAAGGCUUGCAGGAGCAGAAGCCUGAGCUGGAGAGAAGCCGCUCUUCUGCCCGACCGUCUUCGCCGGGGGCAUUGGUCUUCCUUCGCCUUUGGACUCAGACUGGGACUGGAUCUUACGCCAUCGGCUCUCCUGGGUCUCAGGGCUGAGGACUGUGGGCCUUGGGACCUCUCAGCCUCCAUAAUCAUGAUCAUGUGAGAUGAUUCCUCAUAACAAAUCCUUUAUAAUAAACAAAUCUAUGUGUAAUCACAUGAGCUGGUUCCUUAUCAUAAAUUUUUUAAUAAAUCUAUCCAUCUCUCUA